AAAUUGAAGAGUUUGAUCAUGGCUCAGAUUGAACGCUGGCGGCAGGCCUAACACAUGCAAGUCGAGCGGUAACACAGGGAGCUUGCUCCUGGGUGACGAGCGGCGGACGGGUGAGUAAUGUCUGGGAAACUGCCUGAUGGAGGGGGAUAACUACUGGAAACGGUAGCUAAUACCGCAUAACGUCGCAAGACCAAAGAGGGGGACCUUCGGGCCUCUUGCCAUCAGAUGUGCCCAGAUGGGAUUAGCUAGUAGGU
rnacentral:rRNA from 1 species